rnacentral:ncRNA from 1 species
UUAAAGGUUAAGAAGGAAAGAAGUAAUUUAGUAUAUCAUUUAGAGAAACAGUGCUUGGUGAAAACUGUCUGAGAUACUUUAUGAAAUACAUUCCUGAACUGCAGGCUGAAUUUACAAGUAGGCCGAGCCGCUUCACUUCCGUUAAGAGUAAGAGAUGAACAUUAAUUUGUUUUGAACUAGGGUGGUACCACGAUUAAAUCGUCCCUUAA